CGCAGUGAGACGCUGAUAUUCCUAAUAGGGUUGUUAUAAUGUAUCUGUAUCACAUUGUGUCAUUAGUCAGAAAUCCUAGACCUAUAACAUAUAAGGAAACCUUCAUAUAAUCGUAAAAUGUAUGUACCUUGAAAUAUUUGCGAUCUGCUGAGCAAUUCUGGUGCUAAUUAUAUUAGACGGUGCAGUAUCUUUCAUUAUUCCCGUGAGAUGAUAGAGGUUGUUUACUGCAGUGAAGUCACAGGUGGACACCGGCGAUCAGCGGGACGGUGAGAACGCGACGCGAUGGCAUUAUUAGCAUGACAUUGAGCUUUGGAAGCUGAUCUGUUUGAGCAGAACGGACAGGUGAGGAGGUGAGAGAGCUGGACGGAGUGAAGAAAUAAAGCGCCGCUGCAUCACCCUGUAGGCGUUUCAUUACACGUAAAAACACACCAAAGAACGACGUGAGGUUCUUCAGCCGACGCAAAACUGAAUCCGAAAAGGAAUAACACACUUCAGGAUGUGCGGUUAUUUGGAAAGAAUCAACUUCACAGAGGGCAGCAUGAUGCAGUCUGUCUUCUCUCCUGUCUCCUGGUUCCUUGUUCUUCAAAGGCAGGAGUGCUGACGAUCCGAGGCACUAAACCACUCCUCACCGAGUGACAGCCUUCAGUGAUGGAAACAUCUGCGGUUCCAGAACUCUCCGAGGAAAUAUGAUG
ensembl:lncRNA